rnacentral:rRNA from 1 species
UCGGGAAUUUUGGGCAAUGGGGGAAACCCUGACCCAGCAACGCCGCGUGAAGGAUGAAGUAUUUCGGUAUGUAAACUUCGAAAGAAUAGGAAGAAUAAAUGACGGUACUAUUUUAUAAGGUCCGGCUAACUACGUGCCAGCAGCCGCGGUAAUACGUAGGGACCAAGCGUUGUUCGGAUUUACUGGGCGUAAAGGGCGCGUAGGCGGCAUGACAAGUCACUUGUGAAAUCUCUGGGCUUAACCCAGAACGGCCAAGUGAUACUGUCGCGCUAGAGUGCAGAAGGGGCAAUCGGAAUUCUUGGUGUAGCGGUGAAAUGCGUAGAUAUCAAGAGGAACACCUGAGGUGAAGACGGGUUGCUGGGCUGACACUGACGCUGAGGCGCGAAAGCCAGGGGAGCAAACGGGAUUAGAUACCCGUGUAGUCCCUGAGCGGGCUGGCAAGGCGCAU